rnacentral:sRNA from 1 species
GCUGGGCAUGGUGGCGCGUGCCUGUAAUCCCAGCUACUCAGGAGGCUGAGACAGGAGAAUUGCCUGAACCCAGGAGGCGGAGGUUGCGGUGAGCGAGAUCGCGCCAUUGCACUCCAGCCUGGGUAACAAGAGCGAAACCCUGUCUCAA